rnacentral:rRNA from 1 species
GACGAACGCUGGCGGCGUGCCUGACACAUGCAAGUCGGACGGUUCUUGUAUCUUCAAGCUUGCUUGCAGGUGCAAGGAUAGUGGCGGACGGGUGAGUAACGCGUGAACAUCUACCCAUUGGAGGGGGACAACCCGUCGAAAGGCGGGCUAAUACCGCGUAAGCCGCGAGGUGAGAGGCUGCCUAUUGGUGGCCGCCGAUGGAUGGGUUCGCGUCCUAUCAGCUGGUUGGUGGGGUAACGGCCUACCAAGGCGAAGACGGGUAGCCGGUCUGAGAGGAUGGCCGGCCACACUGGAACUGAGACACGGUCCAGACUCCUACGGGAGGCAGCAGUGGGGAAUAUUGGGCAAUGGGGGAAACCCUGACGCAGCAACGCCGCGUGAGUGAGGAAGGCCUUCGGGUCGUAAAGCUCUGUCAGAUGGGAAGAAAUGGGUGGGGGCGUAAGUAUCGCCCAUCCUUGACGGUACCAUCAGAGGAAGCACCGGCUAACUCCGUGCCAGCAGCCGAC